rnacentral:snRNA from 1 species
AUACCUUUCUAAGGCUUUAGGCUAAGAUCAAGUGUUGCAUCUUUUGUUAUCAAUUUAACAUCUGAUAUCAAAUCUACUUUUUAACUUUUCUUAAUCCUGAAGCUUCACUUUGGCGUCUGGGUUUUGAUUUUAGACAAGAAGCACAUAUCUAUC